CAAAUGUUGGAAGAGGUUGAGUUUCUGGAAUCUCUUGAUUCUCGGAAUUCAGUGGCAGCUCCUCCAUGAUUCUACAAAGUAUGGUAGUAGAUAGGAAGCUGCUCUUUUGCCUACUUUUGGAUGCGGAUUGGCAGCCUUAACAGAGGACUGGAUAUAACUGACUUGGAAGCCGAUUUUUUGAGUACUUUUUGAUGCAGAUUAUCAUGCUUCGUGUAACUUCUACAACUUUCUAAUAGUUACUAACGUACAUGAUGUAAUGCUAGCUUUAAACUUGAUACAAUGCUA